GCCAGCGUGGCAUAGUGGUUUGAGCAUAGGAGUGAAACUCUGGUGACCAGGGUUCAAUUCCCAGUUUGGCC